CACGUCGUGUUACCUGUCAGUUUAAUGGAAUGAAAACUACAUUGCCAAGUCGGAUUAAAACAUAAAAAUUCGUAUAAGCAUCAAUAAAGUUCAGCUUCCACAUUCAAUGAAUACCACGGCGUUCUUCCAAAAUUAUAAAAACGUCGCUGAAUUAAAACCAUUUCUGACGCGCAAAGACGAAGGCAAGGGAAUGUUAGAAAAAAUUCAGAACUCAAUAAAAACGAUCAUCAACAAAAGGGCUUAUAUCGAAUAAUAGUUUUUAAAUUGAGUUAUUUAAAUAUGACGACAAUUAUUGUAAACAAAAUUACACAUAGAAUGAACUAAAAUAAUUACUUUUUGUUGUUUAAUAAACUCAAAAAAGUUUUUUCAACAAUUUCUUUUCUAAUACUGAAAUGUAAAACGCUAAUAAUAUAUCUGUCUCCUUCCAA